rnacentral:lncRNA from 1 species
GGUAGAUGAGUCUAUGAUCUACAAUGUAGAGACACUGAGCGACAAGUAUGGGUAGUUAUUAGAGAAUAACUAGUACUGAGUAUGACCAUACUAGAAAUCACGUAGAUUUCUAUUCAAUCAUUAGUGAUUGUCUCGAUGUUGUAGUUGUGUGAAUUAUCGUUUGACCUAUGAUGGCAUGGUUGCUCACAGUGAAGCUGUUGGAGUUUGACUGACAUAGAAAUAUGAUCUCUUUGAGUCUUUAUAUUAGAUGUUGGUGAUAGUUGG